rnacentral:lncRNA from 10 species
AUAAGAGUUCUGGUAAAGGUUACUUCCCUCUCUGCUCCCUGCCAUGUGAGGACACAGAGAAGUUAGCAGUCUGCAGCCCAGAAGAGGACACUCACCAGAACCCAACCACGCUGGCACCCUGAUCUCAGACUUCCAGCCUCCGGAAUCGUGAGAAACAAAGAACUUAGGCUCCAAGAACCCAAUGCCAGGGUCAUUUCAUGGAACGCUACCUUCCCAAAGUCCUUCAAACCUCUAUGCCUGCUGCCAACAUCCCAUUCUCCAGCUAUUUCAAUCCAGUCUCUCCCUGCAGGUUCAAGAUUCACCAGUGACUUUUAGUUCAAACGUGCAAGGUCAACAAAAAAAGCAGAAUAAUCCAUGGCUUUGGGCUCAGCAAUCUUCCAGGAAGAAACAAUCAUCAUCGUAACAAUGCCAGAUGCUAGCAUGUAUUGACUGACUGUCAAGUACCUGAGAGAGGGUUUCUGACCCUUGAGCCUAAAAGACUACGGCAUACUACAGGGCAUAUGCCAAGAUGAGAGCAAAAUGGAAAACAGAAAGCAGAUGAGGUGGAUGCAGUUUCAAAUGUGGCUGUGCGCUUCUGGGUAAACAAAGUGAAAAGGGAAAUUCGGUCAACUACAUUGUUCUCAUUA